CCGAGCUCGGCUCCGCUCGGCUCGUGUGCGGCCCCGCCGGGCCCUUGUUCCGCCGAUGGCGGCCGGGCUGGGGCCGUGGCUGCUGGGCUUGGGCUUGGCCUUGGGGCCGGCAGGCGUGUGGGCGCAGCUGAGGCUGGUGGAGGCCGGCGGAGGGCAGCGAGCGCCCGGGGACUCCGUGCUCCUCUCCUGCCGCGGACACGGCUUCAACUUCGGGAGUUACGGAAUGUUCUGGUACCGUCAGGCACCCGGCGGCAGCCUGGAGUGGGUGUCCCUUAUCUACCCUGAUUCAUCAGUGAUUCGAUACGGACGGGCAGUGGAUGGUCGAGCCACGGUGUCCCGGGACGAUUCCCGGUCUGAGACAUCUCUGUCUCUAAGUGCCCUGAGCCCACAGGACUCUGCCCGCUACUUCUGUGCAACGCCCACGGAGACAGGAAUUGCAUCUGAGCUGUAACAGAAACCUCCUGGCAGCGUCCCAGCACAGGCUGCAGGUGGCUUGGAGACAGUGAAUGCUGAGGUUUCUCGGUACCUUUCUAAAUGAGGCGGGUAGAGAGGAGCCAUCGCUGCACAGCAUAGAUGAUUCUGGCGUUUCUCUAAGAGCUCCUUUCCUGGCAGUGCCAAUUUCCCGACAGGCACCAACCUGCCACUCAUCUGGUGCUGUGCACUGGGGCUGGACACUGCUCAUGGGGCACUGCAGCCCAUCUUGAAAGAGCAGGAUUUAGGAGGGCAGCGUAGGGGACAAGCUGUCCCUUGCCUGUGAGACGUCCUUGUCCCUGCUGUGCUCAUUCAGAGCUGUUCAAGGGUCAGCAGAGUGAAUUCCUCACCAUCCCAAUUUGGGAAAGACAAAAGGCCUCUAGAUGGAAAAGCUUCUCUUUCUGAAUGGGAAAAUCAGGACAAGCUCCUUGUCUGACUGAGAAAUGAGAGACACAUGGUGUCUCCUUUCAUGUGAAUCGAGAUGUCCUGUUGCCAUCUCUAUUUCUCAGCCCUUCUUUGUGAGCUGGGAUUUAAGGGAUCAGUGCUGAGCUGUGAGAACAGAUGCACCUUGCAGACCCAGUCAGCAAAGCGAUGGGAUGGAGCAGUGUAUUACUGUGCUGCUAGUGUUGCCCUGGAGUAGCCCUGCAGCAGCAUACAGCAAAACCUGACUGCCACAGAAGACACAGUGCUCAACGUUCCUUUCCAGCAGCUGCCAAGCAGAGGCUGGUGUCCCACAAUGGCAGAUGCAGGAAGCAGAGCUUUGGCUUGCUUGUGCUGAGCAGAGAUGUGGAUGAAGGGCAGGAGGAUGUACUCUGGGAAGUUGAGAGGCUGUAGGGUGAGGUGCAGAUGAGUGCACUGUGGCUUUGCCCUGACCCAUAUCUGUUGCCUACAAAACCUGGCAGUUUGUGUACAUUGUCUCUUGUUCUGUGCCUGAGCUCCACUUAAAAACCUUCACCCUGUUUCCCUGCACCCUCCCUUGACAUGUUUCUAGAUAUUGAUGAAAUUCCCCCCUGAGACUUUUCUUGUCCAGGGGAGUGAGUCCCAGCUCCCUCAGCCUUGCUUCAUGUCAGAGGUGUUCCAGCCCCGUUAUCAGCUCCUUGCCCUUCACUGGCCUCUCUCCUCUGUGCCCGAGAUUGUCCUGUGUGGGGAGCUGUGAAGUGCACCAGGGAGUCCAGGGGCGACCUGACCAGGGCUGAGCUCACACAGAAUCUCUGAAUCCUAGAAUGAUGGGGGUUGCAAGGGCCCUCUAGAGCUUAUAGAACCCAGCCCCCUCUUAAAGCUCUUUCCCCUUGAUUGGGACACACAGGAAGAGGUGUAGGAGGGUUUGGAAAGCUUUUGAGAAGGGGCUCCACACCCUCCCUGGGCAGCUUCAGCCUGGGCUGCAUCACUUAAACAAUAAAGGAGUUUCUUCUCCU